UACGUAGGGGGCUAGCGUUGUCCGGAAUCAUUGGGCGUAAAGAGCGUGUAGGCGGUCCGGUAAGUCCGCUGUGAAAGUCGAGGGCUCAACCCUCGAAUGCCGGUGGAUACUGUCGGGCUAGAGUGCGGAAGAGGCGAGUGGAAUUCCUGGUGUAGCGGUGAAAUGCGCAGAUAUCAGGAGGAACACCUAUUGCGAAGGCAGCUCGCUGGGACGUUACUGACGCUGAGACGCGAAAGCGUGGGGAGCAAACAGG
rnacentral:rRNA from 1 species